rnacentral:rRNA from 1 species
CCUACGGGAGGCAGCAGUGGGGAAUAUUGCACAAUGGGGGAAACCCUGAUGCAGCGACGCCGCGUGAGUGAAGAAGUAUUUCGGUAUGUAAAGCUCUAUCAGCAGGGAAGAAAUAAAGUCCUUCGGACUUUGGACGGUACCUGACUAAGAAGCCCCGGCUAACUACGUGCCAGCAGCCGCGGUAAUACGUAGGGGGCAAGCGUUAUCCGGAUUUACUGGGUGUAAAGGGAGCGUAGACGGCAGCGCAAGUCUGGAGUGAAAUCCCAUGGCUUAACCAUGGAACUGCUUUGGAAAAUGUGCAGCUGGAGUGCAGGAGAGGUAAGCGGAAAUCCUAGUGUAGCGGUGAAAUGCGUAGAUAUUAGGAGGAACACCAGUGGCGAAGGCGGCUUAAUGGACUGUAACUGACGUUGAGGCUCGAAAGCGUGGGGAGCAAACAGGAUUAGAUACCCCGGUAGUC